CCUUAUGCUCAGCUCCGGCGGAUGCCACGGGCACAAACGCGGGGUGGGGGGAAAGAUAAUAGGAAGGCAGGGGGGCGAGACCCCCUUAUCCUCCCCAACCCCUUCAGAAAUACCCCAAUGCACCCUUUUGAGCAUCGUCCCAUCAGGAGAGGUAUCACCUAAGGGAACAUGCAGGACUCACUCAAACCCCACUUUCUUGGAGUAAAUCACAGCCUUAUCUCAACCAGAGACCCUGUGAAGGAAUGUUCCAGCCCUUGGGCCGCCCACCCCUGAUCCCAGGCAUCAGCAUCUGCUCCAGACCCAAGCUCUGACCCUUCAGAGACACAUUUUUGCAAGGUUUCUGGCCAGCAACACCAAUGACUGUCACAGCCAGCUGCUAAUUCAGAGAUGUCAUGCACAGGGCCCUUAACCAUGCAUGAGCAGUGUGCGUGCAGGAGCAGGGAGAACAUCCCCUACCAUGCUGUGGGACUGAGCUAUGGGUUGGAGACAGGACAAUCCUCAUCUCAGCGAUGCCAAGGCCAGCCAUACCUCAGCACUGCUGGGAAGCAUCCUCUUCCCAGUACAGGAGGGAAGCUGUUAAAGGUACGUCAUGAGCUGUUAAAGGUAUGUGUGGCAUGCAGCGUUUUUGAUCAAAAUAAGUAAUAUAAGAAGGCAAAGAUGAUAGCAUUGCUGUUAUAAUUGUAAUGAGUCACAAAUGCUAUUUUGACGGUUUUCUUUGAAAGAAAUACACAAAACCCAAGCGAUUUAAUUAAAGAUCUCCAAGGCUUUGUAAUCAGCAUGGCCACAAAUGAAGGCAAAUCUACUUUCAUGUGGCAGAAUAUAUGAGUAGGUUUCCCAUUAAAAUAAAAAGAAAGAAGAGAAAAAGACAUUUUAAAGAGUUUUGUUUAUAACAAUACUAGGAUACAACAUGAAGGAUCUAUAUCCCCCCCUGAGAGAGAAAGACUGUGAUUAGCUUAGAUAAUGCACAGAAGGUUUGGGGGUUUUCUAAAUGGUUUCUGAAUAUAUGAAUUACAUUACACAUGUCUGCUGUAACACUGAGCACAUCUCCAGUGGCUCCUUUGGCAAAUACGUUUGGGAACAAGAAAAGGAAGAAACUCCCAAAGAGUCAAAGACAGUGACAGGUAGCUAAAAGCAUUCACCAGGCUCAAUUUCCGAAGCUCUUUCUGAGCUUUUCCAGAUCAAAUGCCCAAAACCCAGGAUACAGAAGCAGCCUUUGAAGCUGCUGAGAUCUUUAAACCAAAGAAGUAGGAUGGGUCACUCAGUAAAAGCUUUUUAUUUCUGGCAAUCAGGCAUAGGGAAAAUGAACGUCUUUGACCUGAGUUUGCAUGGUGCUCUGACCACCUGGGACUGAUCUGCUUAGAAGAGCAGGAAACACUGCGAGGGUUUGAUACUGAUAGAAAUAGCUACCAUUUCCUUUCAAUCGUAUCACCCUUGAGCCUGUGAGAUGCACAGAAUCCUGCAUGCAUCCAAGAUUUGCUGCAAAACAUCAGAGAAAUGGCAAGAGGGCAGAUUAAUCCCAUUUACUCCAAAGAAGUCCAUGAUUAAUGCAACUUGGACAGGGCUGUAGGAAGGGGGAUGGCUUAAAAAGAUGGAGGGAAGUCUGUGGCUGUCCUUAGUUGAUACUAUAUAUGGUAUCUGGUCAGUUCUGUUUUAGAAGCUGCAGCCAGAAUCACAUUUUUAUUGUAUUUCUUUUUAAAGCAGAAUAAGAGGUCAAAUAACUUUACUGCUCUCAAAGAGCCCAUGGUGAUGGAUAGUGCUGCGGGUGGCAGCUGCUAAGCUUUGAGCCCUGGGAGCAAAAGCAGGGGUUAUGCCCCCGAUUUGGCCUCUGCCAGACCAGUGAGCCCUUAGACUGUCUGCUCCUUUUCCCUUGGGACACCCCCAGCACAGAUUUUGACCUGUGUUGACUGGCUUGGUGUGGAGUUGUAUUGGGUUUGAUGCAUGAGCCCCCUGGACCAGAGCUGUGGUGUCUGUGGAGUGGACAGAUGUGGAUUAGCCAGACCCAGGGCUCCAUGGUAGAAAAAGGUCUGUCUUGUGCUGUUACUGAUUCCCAUCAUACGAGUAACACCAGAGUAGUGCUAGAACCCGUAUGGGUGGUGACUGCAGAUGUUUCAGGUGAUCAGAGAGGUUACUCAUAGGUGAUAACUGAUGGCCACAGACUGAGGAACAUUGUGUGGGAC